GGAGAGGAAUCUUACCUCUGAUGCCGAGAUAGGUAGAGGUGAUGUCUACUUAAGAGCCCAUACGAGCAAGGACAAAGUCGUCCAGUAUCCUGACCUUGUUCAAAAACUAGAUGAGCUUUAUAGUAGCAAUCCUGCUUCUAAGAUGACCGGCGUUGACGAUGCCCUUACACAGUUGGUUGGUUCUGAUAGUAGAGGACGAAUGCGUGGUCUGGGUUGCUCGAUAAGCAAAACAGGACUGAAGAAGUCAACCCCUGCCCGUUCAAAGCUACAUAAUAUGGCAAAAGAAAGAGAAGGCCUAGCGCAGGAGAUAUUAGAGAUAAAGAAAUCAUUGAUUGAUAUAAAGUCCUG